GAUGAACGCUGGCGGCGUGCCUAAUACAUGCAAGUCGAGCGAACGGACGAGAAGCUUGCUUCUCUGAUGUUAGCGGCGGACGGGUGAGUAACACGUGGAUAACCUACCUAUAAGACUGGGAUAACUUCGGGAAACCGGAGCUAAUACCGGAUAAUAUUUUGAACCGCAUGGUUCAAAAGUGAAAGACGGUCUUGCUGUCACUUAUAGAUGGAUCCGCGCUGCAUUAGCUAGUUGGUAAGGUAACGGCUUACCAAGGCAACGAUGCAUAGCCGACCUGAGAGGGUGAUCGGCCACACUGGAACUGAGACACGGUCCAGACUCCUACGGGAGGCAGCAGUAGGGAAUCUUCCGCAAUGGGCGAAAGCCUGACGGGGCAACGCCGCGUGAGUGAUGAAGGUCUUCGGAUCGUAAAACUCUGUUAUUAGGGAAGAACAUAUGUGUGAGUAACUGUGCACAUCUUGACGGUACCUAAUCAGAAAGCCACGGCUAACUACGUG
rnacentral:rRNA from 1 species